CAAUAGGUGGUCCGCUACUGUCUUUGAAACGGAAUUAAAUGUCUGUAACGGCAAUUGACAGGCAAAAGGGGGAGGAAAAAAAAUAUUGUGAGGACAUACAAUAUUUUUGAGUCACGCUGGAGCAAUGGAGGAUAAAAUGAUUGCUUUUUUUUUCUAUUCUAUGGGCAGCUCGGACGUUUUAAUGGCAAGCCUGGAGAAGGGACAAUGAGGAAGUCGCCAUAUCUGGUUCAAGAGUACAACUAUGAGGUGGUCCAAUCCUGACAACAUGCGUAAGAGGGACCAACGUACGACAGAAUCUGUAACGACGAGCCCUCGCACAUGCCCGCACGACUCGUCCCACAUCUGGAUUGACAUGGCAAAGCUCUUAAGAUCAAUAAUGGCGACGGAUAUUUGCGGCGGCAUCCUUCAGUGGCUGUCCUAUAAAAGAAAAGAAGCAACAAAGGACACGAUCAAAGAAAUGAAGUUGUUCACACUCCCGAGCGUUUCCACCACAUCUUACGACGUGACUACGUGAGUAUGAAUCUUCACCAAUUAGACUCGUUUUGUUUUUUUUCUCUCACAGAUUUACAUGUGGCAAACUUGAGGAACAUGUGGGCCUCAACAAUACAUCAACCCGCCUCUCUGGUGUGAAGUAUGCCCGUCCGUAGGAGUCCCCCCUCCGUUCCCCUCUGGGCCAUUCUGUACAAACAUUCCAACACUGUGUCUGUAUUCCCAGGGAACCUCGCUCAGAUAAGUCAAGCCUGACAGUGUGAAACAUCAUCCGAGAUGGGCGAGAACACAUGUAGGUCUCCGUGUAGAGGUCCUCAGGGCGGAGUGCUCUCCUUGGAAAGGAUGCAGGAGAGUAAAGAGCGCCUGUGUAUUUUUAAUUUGGAGCAAAACAGUACAUGAAGCAAUAUGACAAGAUUCAAAAAUAGAAUAUAAAAUCAGUAUUGAUCUCUUUCAACUGAUCCAUCAAGAUCCCUCACAACAGUCAAACCCAGACAGGACUGAACAUGUUGAGCAAUUCCAUCCAUUUUUUUUUUUUUUUUAAGUAAAUAUUAACUUCCACAUUGUGCCUUUUAAUGAGCAUCACUCACUUUCGCCCUGAAAAUAAACAAAGCUCUGAAGCGGACAGCCGCCGAGUGCUAAGUGCCACGUAGAUUAAUGAGGUGUGUGUCACACUGCCCCUCUCUUCAUCCCUCUGUUUGUCUGUGUGUGUAUGGGGGGGUCGAGGCAAACUAACAUGCUCAAGUAAACAAAAAGCAGUGAAGACAGCAGGGAGACUCUCACUUUUGCUUCUACUUAGUGUCAACACUCCUUUUAGUGUCUCAUUUAAAUAACUGCAAAAAACAAAAGAACUGCUCUGCAAAGUAAGAGAUGCACUUAAGAUAAUAGAGUCCAUUAUUCAACCUUUAGUUAAGAUAGCGCCUCGCAUCAGGAAGGUGCGUGACCAGUCGGCAGGCAGGCAGACCUGGGGCUCCGGUGGAUAUCAGACAGUGCAUGACAAUGGGUCUGCUCGCCCCGGAGGAGGUCGUUACUAUGGAGUGAAGCGGGACCGACAAGCGGCUGGCACCUGGGAACCAGACAUUCAGGAAGGGGAGGGGGGGGGGGGGGGGGCGCAAGCUUCAUCCAUUACCUCCCCACCUUGAUAUUAGUGGAAGCGAAUGGGGGGGUGAAAAACACACAUUACAUCAUGGAGAGUGCAGCAAAGGAGGGGUGAAAGGUGAAGGAUUCAGGAGUAAAUGAGUCAUGACCAACACUAAAGGGCUUGGACAAGGUUGCUUGAACACACACAAACACACACACACGUGCAAAAUCAUGUUUGCCGUUGUGAAAAUCCUUUCACUUGAUUCUUCGAUUUCCCAGCUAAUCUGCUGAGAUUUUACGCCCCUAAAGGUUGCCAGAGUAGAACAUUUUUAUCCUCGAGGAGACUGGGGGCACUGCAGCAAGGUGGAGAUGAUGGAGUAUAAUUCUGCCGUGUCCAAAGAUGAGCAAGGUUGCGUGUGUGUUUAUAUGAUUUGGGUACAAAUGUUAUCCAAGAGGAGACUGAGGGCAGCUUGAAUAUGGGGCACUGCAGCAAAGUGGAGAUAGUGGAGUGUCCACAGUUUAGGUUAGCGUGUGUGGGAUUAUUUUUUUCUAAUUUCUGCCAAGGAAAAAAAUGAAACGGUGCAGAAAAGUGAGGACUGUGGAGUGUAACGGCACUUUGGUUUUGAGCCAGGACAAAACACCCACACAGAAUCCCGUUUGUGGUUGCGCAAGUCCUCCAACAUUGCAUUUGAUUGUUACAAAUUUCCUUGCUAAUCUGCCGAGAUUUCCCGCACGCCUCGAACACGACACGCCCCUAAUGCUUGCCAGAGGUAAAGAUUUAGUUGCGAAAAAUUUGAAAAAAAUAGUGGCCUUUUAUGUUGCUGUUGCUUUUUGGGAGGCUGCCAACUCUCGUUUGAAAAUACAGUAAUUUGCGAGUGGAAUUUAAACAGGCCAAAUUGCUUCCCCUUCGCUAACAAUGUGGCAAAAGGAGAGUUAGCCAUGUGCGCUUGGUCAGCGUCGCCCGGCUUAACUACGAGUGACACAUUUGGCCUUCAAACGUGCUCUACAAAUUUCGAUCCAAAAGCGGAUUUAGGAAAGCGAGAAAAUGGGGCAGUGCAUCAAAGUGGAGACUGUGGAUUAUAAUACCGGCGGAACAGGACAAGCUAAUGUUAACGUAUGUGCUUAUUUUGAUCAUUCCAUUAUGAGGCUGCACCAGGUAGCUCAUCACGAGGAGGUCAAGCUGCUCGGUCACCAAACUGGGUCAACUUGUCAACUUUUUGUCUUGAGCCUUUUUUUUUUUUUUUUUUAUUACUUUCCAAACACAAUGAAGAAAACCGAAGGAUAUAUGUCGAGACGCUUGGUUGCAUUUUCAACUGCUGUCUAUUGGAGCGGAGACAUCAAGCGCAUUCCAAGAGACCCAGGGCCCAAUUACGGGCAGAUGAAGGGCAAGUUGUCUUUGUCUAAGAACAAAGGCAACAAGUGACAAGGGUGCUCUUUAACGGGAGAGCUCUAUAAGGACAGCAGAGGAGGGGGAGAGAGGUGAGCAGCUGGUUAUAAAUAUCUAUUGGCUCACUUACUGGAAGGAAAAUGGGCACUUUGUUGCUCAUCCACUCAUGCAGGUGCUUGCAAAACAUGACUAACCACUAAUGUUUUACAACAACCUUCCAAUUUCUUAAUUCAAAACCAUUCCAACGUCAAAAUAGGAAGCUCAUUCAGAACGUCUGUGCAACUGUUAAUAAUAAUGAUAAUAAAAAUGCUAGCUCACACAGAAGAUCCCACAAAUGUCCUUGUUUGUUUUUCAAUGAAUACAAAAAUGUUAGAGCCACCUCAAUUUCACAAUUUCUCAACUAAACCUUUUUCAAAACAUUUUCAUCAACAGGAUCAUUAGCAUUUAAAUGUGAAAAAUA